CCUACGGGUGGCAGCAGUGAGGAAUAUUGGUCAAUGGACGCGAGCCUGAACCAGCCAAGUAGCGUGAAGGAUGACUGCCCUAUGGGUUGUAAACUUCUUUUAUCAAGGAAUAAAACGAGCCACGCGUGCCUUUUUGCGUGUACUUUAUGAAUAAGCAUCGGCUAACUCCGUGCCAGCAGCCGCGGUAAUACGGAGGAUUCGAGCGUUAUCCGGAUUUAUUGGGUUUAAAGGGUGCGUAGAUGGGUUGUUAAGUCAGUUGUGAAAGUUUGCGGCUCAACCGUAAAAUUGCAAUUGAUACUGGCAGUCUUGAGUACAGUUGAGGUAGGCGGAAUUCGUGGUGUAGCGGUGAAAUGCUUAGAUAUCACGAAGAACCCCGAUUGCGAAGGCAGCUUACUAAACUGUGACUGACAUUGAUGCUCGAAAGUGUGGGUAUCAAACAGGAUUAGAUACCCUUGUAGUC
rnacentral:rRNA from 1 species